AAAUUAUCUAGAUUUCUCUUUAUUUUUCUGCACUCUCAUCAGCCAAAAAACAUCUUAAGGGUUUCUUCAAGCUGGUUUUUCAUAAUUUUUGCACCAAAUCCGGAAAAUUCAAAUACGAAGCAAGAUCAAGGAAAAGAAAAAGUUCGGGAUUAGUAGAUUUUUGUUUACGAACAAUUGUCGAGAGUUAAGAGCUCGAAGGUCGGAUUUGGUCGGAGACACAUCACACUAUCAAUCUCGAGAUCUCGGUACAUAAAGGAACUUUAUUUUGGAAAUCAAUGGCAUGUAUAAGCUAGUAAAUUAGAUGUUAAUGUGAAAUGAAUGUAUGGUUAGCCAUUGGUAUGGCUAACAAAUUUUGGUUUUGGUAUGUGAUGAAAUUAUCUUAUGAAUAUGAUAAAUCUAUUUUGAAAAAAAAAAUUCGGUAAAAUCUGGUAAUGCGUCAUACUCUAUUUCGGCGACGAAUACGGGUAGGGGGUAUUACAGUAGCUCCUCUUGUGAGAUCUUUGAUGGCUACAAAGCAAGAGAACCUUGACAAAUGUGAGAAGAAGAUGAAUAAUUCUUCUGCUAAAGGGUGAGGAAAAUGAGGUGGUAAGGAAGGUACAUAUUCUCCUCUUGUUCCAUGAUUAUUCUUUUUUGGAAUAUUAAGGAGUUUAAUAAUCCGCUAAAGCAAAAACUAGUAGUUGAUAGGUUAGUUAGAUUGAAGAUUGAUGUUUGUUGUUUGUUGGAAACUAGAGUUAAGUGUAAUAAUGCUUCGAUUAUUUUAGGGAAGUAUUUUCAGGGGUGGAACUUUGUUUGUAAUUAUGAUCAUGCUGUUAAUGGUCGAAUUUGGCUUAUUUGGAAGAGUGUUUGUAUUGUGGAUGUGUUAUGUCUUUGGUUAAUGUAUUACAUGCAGUGUGCAAGUGCAACAUCAGAAAGUCUUCUUUUCAACUGUUUAUGCUUGUAAUGAUGGUGUUUCUUGUCAAGAGCUAUGGUCUCACUUGUGUUCUAUGAGUGGCCAGGUUGGUGAUGCUUCAUUGUUGUUGGGUGGUGACUUUAAUGUCACGCUUUUGCUUGAGGAGAGUCCUUCUUUCGAUAGUUCUCAGUCUUUUACUGUUGAUAUGAAGGAUUUUGAAGCUUUGGUUAUGGAGAUUGAAGUCUUUGAUCAUGCUUAUUUUGGUCUUGUUUUCACUUAGUCUAAUCAUCAAUUGGAUAGCUCGAUUGCGAAGAAGCUUGACAAAUUUCUUGUUAAUCCAGCUUGGUUAUGGUUUCUGCCUCAUUCACGGGUUGAGUUUGUUGCUCCUGGUUGUUCGUGUAACACCCCCAACUCGUCUCCAUCACCGGAUUAGGGUUACGGAGCAU